rnacentral:rRNA from 1 species
UACGUAGGGUGCAAGCGUUAAUCGGAAUUACUGGGCGUAAAGCGUGCGCAGGCGGUUUUGUAAGUCUGUCGUGAAAGCCCCGGGCUCAACCUGGGAAUUGCGAUGGAGACUGCAAGGCUUGAAUCUGGCAGAGGGGGGUAGAAUUCCACGUGUAGCAGGUGAAAUGCGUAGAGAUGAUGGAGGAACACCGAUGGCGGAAGGC